AGAGACAGCAGUAGCCGCGGGAAUACGUAGGGUGCAAGCGUUAAUCGGAAUUACUGGGCGUAAAGCGUGCGCAGGCGGUUAUAUAAGACAGAUGUGAAAUCCCCGGGCUCAACCUGGGAACUGCAUUUGUGACUGUAUAGCUAGAGUACGGCAGAGGGGGAUGGAAUUCCGCGUGUAGCAGUGAAAUGCGUAGAUAUGCGGAGGAACACCGAUGGCGAAGGCAAUCCCCUGGGCCUGUACUGACGCUCAUGCACGAAAGCGUGGGGAGCAAACAGGAUUAGAUACCCCGGUAGUCCCUGUCUCUUAUAC
rnacentral:rRNA from 1 species